rnacentral:rRNA from 1 species
GACGAACGCUGGCGGCGUGCUUAACACAUGCAAGUCACGGGGGUUGGAGCAAUCCAGCAACCGGCGAACGGGUGCGUAACACGUGAGCGACCUGCCCAGUUGUGGGGGAUAGCCGGCCCAACGGCCGGGUAAUACCGCAUACGCGUCUUUGGGGGCAUCCCUGGGGACGGAAACCUACGGGGCGAUUGGAGGGGCUCGCGGCCUAUCAGCUAGUUGGCGAGGUAACGGCUCACCAAGGCGAUGACGGGUAGCUGGUCUGAGAGGAUGGCCAGCCACAUUGGGACUGAGAGACGGCCCAGACUCCUACGGGAGGCAGCAGUGGGGAAUCUUGCGCAAUGGCCGAAAGGCUGACGCAGCGACGCCGCGUGGAGGAUGAAGGUCUUCGGAUUGUAAACUCCUGUUGAUCGGGACGAAAAGCUUCGACCUAACACGUCGAGGACUGACGGUACCGGUUGAGGAAGCCACGGCUAACUCUGUG